GAUGAACGCUGGCGGCGUGCCUAACACAUGCAAGUCGAACGAGAUCUUCGGGUCUAGUGGCGCACGGGUGCGUAACGCGUGGGAAUCUGCCCUUUGGUUCGGAAUAACAGUUGGAAACGACUGCUAAUACCGGAUGAUGACGAAAGUCCAAAGAUUUAUCGCCAGAGGAUGAGCCCGCGUAGGAUUAGCUAGUUGGUGUGGUAAAGGCGCACCAAGGCGACGAUCCUUAGCUGGUCUGGGAGGAUGAUCAGCCACACUGGGACUGAGACACGGCCCAGACUCCUACGGGAGGCAGCAGUGGGGAAUAUUGGACAAUGGGCGAAAGCCUGAUCCAGCAAUGCCGCGUGAGUGAUGAAGGCCUUAGGGUUGUAAAGCUCUUUUACCCGGGAUGAUAAUGACAGUACCGGGAGAAUAAGCUCCGGCUAACUCCGUGCCAGCCGCCGCGGUAA
rnacentral:rRNA from 1 species